rnacentral:rRNA from 1 species
UACGUAGGGUGCAAGCGUUGUCCGGAAUUAUUGGGCGUAAAGAGCUCGUAGGUGGCCUGUCGCGUCGGCUGUGAAAACUCGGGGCUCAACUCCGAGCUUGCAGUCGAUACGGGCAGGCUAGAGUUCGGCAGGGGAGACUGGAAUUCCGGGUGUAGCGGUGGAAUGCGUAGAGAUCCGGAAGAACACCGGUGGCGAAGGCGGUCUGCUGGGGCAGUUGCUGGACACUGAGGCGCGACAGCGUGGGGAGCAAACAGGG